CCACUGUGCUGAAACUCACAUUGCUGAC
rnacentral:piRNA from 1 species